GACAGGGGCGAAAGCGGGGGGUGCGAGUGCAGCGGUGGUAUGCUCUGAGCGUCCGGUGAUGCGUUCGAUGUCGAGAAUCCGUGAGGCCGCCGAAGCGGCCACCCGGAUGGCGCGGGAGAGCAGCUCCCUGACCGCGGCAGCCGCAUUUGCCGAGGGAGCGGCAGAGGGACAGCGGGAUGCGUCCCUCGCUGCAGCUCAGGCGGCGGGCAUGCACGGGAAGGUUGAGCGGAACCCGGAAGCCACAGGGGGAGGGGAUUUUUCGCAUCUGGAACGCGCGGCACGGGCGCGGGCGGGGCGGAGCCGGCACACGCGGGCUGUGGGUGCUGGCACAGAGCCAGGAGAGGGGCAAAGCGAGGCGGAAACAUCAGGGCCAGAAUGGGAACAGGAAGGUAGUUGCGUCAGUCUCGGGGAGGAUGACAGUGGCUCUGAAUCUGAGGCAGUGCGGGGUGGAGCUAGGCGAAAGCGCGGCCGGGGUCGGAGCAGAGGCGUCCACACCCCCGUGAUGACGCAGGCAGAGUCGGGGCGUGGCCAGGAUGUAAACAUUCCUCAGGGCACGGUUCCGAUGCAGUUCCCAUGGCAACAGUCAGCCCAAGCCCACAGCCAACCCCUGUCAGCUUCAGACAUGGGCAGAAUAGAACAGUUGUUACAAGAGUCAGUUUCACAGAGUGCAGGGAUUGCAAACGUGAAUCAGUUAUGGGGAGAAAUGCUCAAACAUUUAUCAGGAAUUACCACGGGGUUUGCAAAUGUAAAUCAGUUGUCAGAAGAGAUGCUCAAAUAUUUAUCAGAAGUGCAAAUUGAAGAGCCAAGUGCAGUCCCGACCUCAGUUGGUCAGGCGGCAGCGCCAUCUAGUGGCGGAACCACAUCAUUGCAGCAGAUUUUACAGGACCCAGUCAGACAAGGCAAGGUAUCACACAGUGGUGGGACUUUGACAAUUCAAGACUUUUUUCCAGUUUCUUAUAAGAAAAAAUCUAGGAUGAGAAGAGCUGCAUCUGCACGACAGCAGGAAUCUCCGCUGACUCCAAAGAGUGUGGGACUCAGGACACUUCUGCUGGGGGUCAACAACAGGAUGACACGAUUCGCAUCACUGCCUCGGAGGGUGUCCCAGCUUGGACAAUUCCAAAAUCAAGGUCUGCCAAAAUUUCGGGGCAGGGAGAAUCAAUUUCAGUAUCAAAAAGGGUUGUUGAAUUUCUUUUACGAUAUUUAAGCAUAGCCUUGGAGUCGCAGCCAGAGCUGUUGGUUCAUCUUCCAAAAAUUUUCCAAAUAAUGCAGGGCAGUCAUGUGUUCUCCUCCACAGCAGGUGCUCCACUUUUCUCCAGAGGCACCCAGCCUUCAUCUUCACAGAUGCCGCAGACGCCGUUGGUAUCGGUGAGUGCUGCUGCAUCAAAACUGCAGUCACCUCAGAUGACUCCACUCUACAGGCAAGUACCCACAGAAUUUCCAGCUUUGCCAGAUGCGAAAGUGGACUGGCAGGACAUUCGGGCAGAAUUGGAGAAGGAGAAAGGUUUAUUGCAGGGUUCGGGAAACAUAGUGAUGCCAGUGAACUAUGAUGCUCAGGGCCAAAACCCGAGAUGGGAACGCCUGGAUCGUGGAGCAAUCAAAGAUUUAGCUAAGGCCAUUCGGGACAAUGGGUUGUCAUCACCAUAUUUCAAACAGAUGUUGAAAAGCAUUUUUGGCAUGUAUGAUUUAACACCAUAUGAUCUUAAAUAUCUCGCAACAUCAGUUCUUACAGACACCCAAGCUCUCAUUUGGCAGAAGGCGUGGCGGAGAUCCCUGGAGGAGCUGAGAGCCAGAUACCAAGGCAGGCCAAACGCGAACCUCACCAUGGUGCAGCUUGCCGGUGAUCCUCCUGAGGACGAUCCAACUCAACAGGCGGUGAGACUCCCACGGCACGUGCUCAGCGACAUCAAAGAGGCGGCACGGAGAGCAAUUCUUCAGAUUGCUCCGGCGGGGGUCCAGGACAACAUCUACACCGAGAUCAAGCAGGGUUCUUCAGAGCCAUUUUCCUCGUUCGUGGAUCGUCUUUCUCAGGCAGUGGAGCGGCAGGUGACUGAGGAGGGGGCGAAACCACAUCUGACCAAAAGCCUCGCCUUCUCCAAUGCCAACCCAGAGUGCAGGCGAAUCAUCAGCAUGAUGCCACACCAGGCCACCUUGGCAGACAUGAUCAAGGCGUGCAGCAAGGAGAGGGAGACAUCUCGCGAGUGAGUGCCACUCACAGACAGACGUGGAUGGAAAACCUCUUCCGGUUCCGGGAAACGGGAAAAAGAGCGCGAAUCGACGCCAGCGCGCACCGACACAAAUUCUGGCGGUGACACAGAAUCAACAGGAGCAAUCCUCGGGGAACAACAAACAGAAUCCUUCAGCAGAGCAAUCUCCAAAAUCCCCAGCGACCCAGACUUGGUACCACCCGGAUUCCAACGCGUCCUGGCAACCUCCAAAUUGACGUGUUUUUUGGACAAUAGCCAUGCAGUGAUACCCACAGGUGUCACAGGGACUUCUUGGAAAAGGCAGGAUUUUUUAAUAAUGGCCAGAGACAGAAGCAGCAUUCUUGGACUUGUUGUUUACCCAUCUUUGAUUUCAGCAAACCGUAAUGAGGAGCUGAUGGUCACAGCAAAAGCCUUGCAACCACCUUUGACAAUUCCACAAAAUACACCAAUUGCUCGAGCCAUGGCUUUGCCAUCUCACCCAGAAAGGCAAGUCAUGCCAGUGUUCAACAUACGGGACUCUUUUUCUGGUGAUCAAGCAGAAGUGCAUGCAUCUUGGGUGAAACAUGUGAGCCGAGAUCGGCCUGUUGUUACUUGUCAGUUGACUUGUAACGAAAAGCCAAUUACUAUCACGGGAAUGCUUGACACAGGAGCAGAUGCUACAGUUAUUUCAUACAUUUUUUGGCCCCGGGAAUGGGACUUGGUUGCACCUUUGGGCUCUCUCUCAGGCAUAGGAGGAAGUUCCCUAUGCAUGCAGAGUGAAAAUGCAAUCGUUGUCAGAGGCCCGGGAGGGAAAACAGCAGUCAUCCGUCCUUUCAUCGUGCAAAAGCCCAUCACAGUGUGGGGAAGGGAUCUUUUGGCACAAUGGGGACUGAAAUUAGAAUUGGAUUUUUGACAGGGGUCACUGUGGCACUCGCCACUCUGAAGUUGACCUGGAAAACAAAUGAUCCUGUUUGGGUGGAUCAGUGGCCCCUUGAGUGAAAGAAAUUGAGUGCCUUGAAAAAGUUGGUCCAGGAACAGCUGCAGAAGGGACACAUCAAACCCACAGACAGCCCAUGGAAUUCUCCAGUGUUCGUCAUUCACAAGAAAACUUCAGGGUCUUGGAGACUGCUUCGUGAUCUCAGGAAAAUCAACGAGGUCAUCGAGGACAUGGGACCACUUCAGCUUGGACUCCCAUCUCUCUCAAUGAUCCCGAGAGACUGGUCACUUGUGAUCAUUGAUCUCAAGGACUGUUUUUUCAGCAUUCCACUUCAUCCAGAUGAUGCUCCACACUUUGCAUUUUCUGUCCCAAGCAUCAACAGAGAAGAACCUCUGCAAAGGUACCAUUGGACAGUUCUUCCGCAAGGUCUCAAAAAUUCUCCAACCAUUUGUCAGUGGUACGUGGCCCAAGCAUUGCAUCCAGCACGAGAGAAGCAUCCAAAACCAAAAAUUAUUCAUUAUAUGGACGAUUUGCUCAUUGCAGCACCGACAAAAAAGGAGGUGCAAGAGGUUCGUGACUGUGUGAUUGCACAGGUGCAAAAGGCAGGACUGGAAAUCAGUGCACCAAAAAUACAAGAAAUUGCACCUUGGAAAUAUCUGGGCUGGAAAAUCUCGAAGCAAACAAUAAGGCCACAGAAGCUGGAGAUCAACACAAAGGUCACCAAUCUGCAGGGUUUACAGCAGCUUUUGGGGGAGAUCAACUGGAUGAGACCAAUCCUGGGAAUCACCAAUGAUGACAUCUCGUCACUGCUCGAUCUUUUGAGAGGGGACAACAACAUCAAAUCUCCCAGAACUCUGACGCCUGAAGCAAGAAAAGAUCUUGAGAAGAUCACAGACAUGAUUCAACAGAGACAAGCACAUCGCUUUGUGGAAUCAUUGCCUUUUCAUUUAGCAGUGUUGGGGGAAACAGCACAGUUAUAUGGGUUGAUUUUUCAAUGGGAUUUGUCUCAAAUGGACCCUCUUUUGUUGAUAGAGUGGGUUUUUUUAGCUUACAGGCCCUCAAAAACAAUUCUUACAGAUUUAGAAAUGAUAGCACAAAUUAUUAUUAAAGCGAGAACCAGAUUGCUGGUGAUGUCAGGCAGGGAUUUCUCAGUCAUUCAUGUACCUUUAAAGAAAGUAUAUUUUGAGUGGGCGAUGCAGAAAUCACAGGAUCUUGCAAUUGCUUUGUUAGGAUAUCCAGGGAUUUGUACAGUUCAUUUCCCGGCGCACAGGAUGUUAAAUGCAAAAGUGAGUUUCAGGGAAAAGCCAAAAAUAAGCCAGGAACCAGUGGAAGGGAUGACAAUAUUCACUGAUGGUUCAGGGAAAACUCACAAAUCAGUGGUCACAUGGCAAAAUCCAAAAACAGGGGAAUGGGAAUCAGAUAUAAAAAUAAUACAGGGUUCACCACAAAUUGUGGAAUUGGCAGCAGUGGUCAGGGUUUUUCAAUUGUUUCAGGAACCUCUCAAUCUGAUCACAGAUUCAGCAUAUGUUGCAAAUGUGGUCAAACGAUUAGAGGGAUCACUUUUGAAACACACUGACAAUGAAAUUUUAUAUUCAUAUUUGUUAUGCAUGAGGACAAUUCUAGAAAAUAGAGAGCACAAAUAUUUUGGUGCACGCAUCAGGGCACAUUCCUCACUCCCAGGGUUCUUAGCAGAAGGGAAUGCUCACGCAGAUAGGCUCACAAUGACCAUAUCACAGACAUUGCCAGAUAUUUUUGAGCAGGCAAAAUUAAGCCAUGCAUUUUUCCAUCAAAAUGCACAGGCGCUGGUGGAGUCCUUCCGCCUUUCUAAAAGUCAGGCGCGGGAGAUCAUCAGUGCUUGCCCAGAUUGUCAGCUUGUGCAGCCUCCUGCAUCCACAGGAGCUGUCAAUCCAAGGGGAUUGCAGAGUCUUCAGCUGUGGCAAGCUGAUGUCACAAAAUACCCAUCUUUUGGGAAGCUCAAAAAUAUCCAUGUUUCAGUUCACACAUUUUCAGGGGCAAUUUUCGCAUCACUACAUACAGGGGAAACUGCAGAACAUGCCUGCAGACAUUUUUUGCAAGCAUUUGCAUCACUCAGGGUGCCACAAGAAAUAAAAACAGAUAAUGGUCCAACUUACACAGGCAAGGUGCUUGACAAAUUUCUGAAAAAAUGGGGAGUCAAACACAUUUUUGGUAUUCCUUAUUCUCCCUCAGGUCAAGCAAUCAUUGAAAGAACACAUCACACCCUGAAAUCCCUCUUGGAUAAACAGAAAAGAGGGGAAGCAGGCGCAACACCGCACAUGCGGUUGAAAUGGUCUUUCUCAGAACCCACUCCACCAAUUGUUAGGCACUUCACAAACAGCACACAAGCAAAGCUAAGGGAAAAUCCUUUAGUUUUGAUCAGAAAUCCAGAAUCGGGACAAAUUGAAGGUCCAUUUACAUUAAUAACUUGGGGCAAGGGUUUCGCUUGUGUUUCCACAGAGCGAGGACCGAAGUGGGUGUCGGCGAGGCACGUGAAACCUUAUCGGGUGCAGACGCAAGUGGACGUGGACCCGAGAAGCAGAGAAGCAAGCACGCAGACGAAGGCAGAAGACGACGACGCAGACGUCACAUCAGACAACGACUGAUCACCCAGAGACUUGGGGGGUUUUCUUUUCCUGGGAAAUCAAGUGUUGUUUGGGUGUUGCUGCAUUGCAGGGUCUCUCACAGAGGGUGGGGGCAUGGACAUGGGAUUCAGGCAGAUAGUGUUCAUGUGCUUCAUUCUCUUGCCUAUUGCCUUGGGCGAUUGGACAGACUUUCCCGUGAAACAACCAAGGGAAAAUGUGUGGGAAACUUUGGCAAAGGCAGCGGGUCUGGACAGCAUUUGUCUGACUCAUUCAAAGCCAGGGAAACCAUUUUCAACAUGUUUAGUAGGUGUGCCAGUGAAGGAAUGGCCAAUUCCAAAAAGCAUCCCUCCAGAGAUUCUGAAAACUUUUUCAGAUCCUGUGGAAGGAUGGCAAGUUUGGACACAGUACCUUCCUGUGGCUCACUUGGAACCUCCAGAAUUGGACAUUUUUGGAUCAACAAAAAUGAAAUGGUGCAUUGAAUUUAAUUCAUCAGGAGUGGCAAAGACAGACAAUCAUACAAUAGAUGUCACUCCCAAUCAGCCUUUUUAUAAAAAUGCAUCAUCUUGGUGCGAUCACACAAAAAUGACAAGCAAACCAUCCCUUCAACACCCAGCCACUUUACCGAAGGGAAUGUUUUUCAUUUGCGGGGACAGAAUUUGGCCUGCUAUCCCUGCAAAAAUCAAGGGCGGUCCAUGCAGCAUCGGGGAACUCUCAUUGUUAACACCUGAUUUGAAAACUUUACAAAAGCAGACACACAGGGAAAAAAGAUCCCUUGAACAAUAUAGUCCAAAUUGUGAUGAUGAUGUUUCUACCUGGAACAAGGCUCAGAGAAUUGCAAUAGCAAUUUUCUCACCCCAAACAGCAUCAGGGGUGGCCUUGACACAAUUGGAUCAUAUAGCGUGUUGGUUGAGUAAACACAGUCGUGCCAUUUUGUUUGCACUGAGUGACAUGUUAACAGACAUCAGCGGUGCAAGGCAAGCAGUGCUUCAAAACAGGGCGGCAAUUGAUUAUUUGCUGCUGACACAUGGGCACGGAUGUGAGGAAUUUGAGGGGAUGUGCUGCAUGAACUUGUCCGAUCAUUCAAAAUCUAUUCAUGAAAAUAUAAAAAAAAUACAGAAUAGAUUAGCAAAUUGAACAGAGUUACAGGGUCCUGGUGGGAUAAUUUGUUUAACUUUUUUGAUAUCUCACCAUUGUGGAAAGAACUUUCGAAAAUAGCAUUUUAUAUUCUUAUAGGGCUUGUAGUUCUUCUGCUUGUUCUACCAUGCAUUUUCGUGUGUAUUCGAAAGACCUUGAACAGCA